rnacentral:lncRNA from 1 species
CAGAUGUUGACCAUAAACCCUGCAAAGCGUAUCACAGCUGACCAGGCUCUCAAGCACCCAUGGGUCUGUCAACGGUCAACAGUGGCAUCCAUGAUGCAUCGCCAAGAGACAGUGGAGUGCUUACGCAAGUUCAACGCCCGGAGAAAACUGAAGGGUGCCAUCCUCACAACCAUGCUUGUCUCCAGGAACUUUUCAGUUGGCAGGCAGAGCUCCGCCCCCGCCUCGCCUGCCGCGAGCGCCGCCGGCCUGGCCGGGCAAGCUGCCAAGAGCCUAUUGAACAAGAAGUCAGAUGGCGGCGUCAAGAAAAGGAAGUCGAGUUCCAGCGUGCACCUAAUGCCACAGAGCAACAACAAAAACAGUCUCGUAAGCCCAGCCCAAGAGCCCGCGCCCUUGCAGACGGCCAUGGAGCCACAAACCACCGUGGUACAUAAUGCUACAGAUGGGAUCAAGGGCUCCACAGAGAGCUGCAACACCACCACAGAAGACGAAGAUCUCAAAG